CGGGACCACCCGGUAAGCCUAAAUACUCCUCGAUGACCGAUAGCGGAUUAGUACCGUGAGGGAAUGGUGAAAAGUACCCCGGGAGGGGAGUGAAAGAGUACCUGAAACCGUGUGCCUACAAUCCGUCAGAGCCUCCUUUUCCUCUCCGGAGGAGGGUGGUGAUGGCGUGCCUUUUGAAGAAUGAGCCUGCGAGUCAGGGACAUGUCGCAAGGUUAACCCGUGUGGGGUAGCCGCAGCGAAAGCGAGUCUGAAUAGGGCGACCCACACGCGCAUACGCGCGUGUGAAUAGUGGCGUGUUCUGGACCCGAAGCGGAGUGAUCUACCCAUGGCCAGGGUGAAGCGCGGGUAAGACCGCGUGGAGGCCCGAACCCACUUAGGUUGAAGACUGAGGGGAUGAGCUGUGGGUAGGGGUGAAAGGCCAAUCAAACUCCGUGAUAGCUGGUUCUCCCCGAAAUGCAUUUAGGUGCAGCGUUGCGUGGUUCACCGCGGAGGUAGAGCUACUGGAUGGCCGAUGGGCCCUACUAGGUUACUGACGUCAGCCAAACUCCGAAUGCCGUGGUGUAAAGCGUGGCAGUGAGACGGCGGGGGAUAAGCUCCGUACGUCGAAAGGGAAACAGCCCAGAUCGCCGGCUAAGGCCCCCAAGCGUGUGCUAAGUGGGAAAGGAUGUGCAGUCGCAAAGACAACCAGGAGGUUGGCUUAGAAGCAGCCACCCUUGAAAGAGUGCGUAAUAGCUCACUGGUCAAGUGAUUGUGCGCCGAUAAUGUAGCGGGGCUCAAGCACACCGCCGAAGCCGCGGCACAUCCACCUUGUGGUGGGUGUGGGUAGGGGAGCGUCCCUCAUUCAGCGAAGCCACCGGGUGACCGGUGGUGGAGGGUGGGGGAGUGAGAAUGCAGGCAUGAGUAGCGACAAGGCAAGUGAGAACCUUGCCCGCCGAAAGACCAAGGGUUCCUGGGCCAGGCCAGUCCGCCCAGGGUGAGUCGGGACCUAAGGCGAGGCCGACAGGCGUAGUCGAUGGACAACGGGUUGAUAUUCCCGUACCCGUGUGUGGGCGCCCGUGACGAAUCAGCGGUACUAACCACCCAAAACCGGAUCGAUCACUCCCCUUCGGGGGUGUGGAGUUCUGGGGCUGCGUGGGAACUUCGCUGGUAGUAGUCAAGCGAAGGGGUGACGCAGGAAGGUAGCCGUACCAGUCAGUGGUAACACUGGGGCAAGCCGGUAGGGAGAGCGAUAGGCAAAUCCGUCGCUCACUAAUCCUGAGAGGUGACGCAUAGCCGGUUGAGGCGAAUUCGGUGAUCCUCUGCUGCCAAGAAAAGCCUCUAGCGAGCACACACACGGCCCGUACCCCAAACCGACACAGGUGGUCAGGUAGAGCAUACCAAGGCGUACGAGAUAACUAUGGUUAAGGAACUCGGCAAAAUGCCCCCGUAACUUCGGGAGAAGGGGGACCGGAAUAUCGUGAACACCCUUGCGGUGGGAGCGGGAUCCGGUCGCAGAAACCAGUGAGGAGCGACUGUUUACUAAAAACACAGGUCCGUGCGAAGUCGCAAGACGAUGUAUACGGACUGACGCCUGCCCGGUGCUGGAAGGUUAAGAGGACCCGUUAACCCGCAAGGGUGAAGCGGAGAAUUUAAGCCCCAGUAAACGGCGGUGGUAACUAUAACCAUCCUAAGGUAGCGAAAUUCCUUGUCGGGUAAGUUCCGACCUGCACGAAUGGCGUAACGACUUCUCAACUGUCUCAACCAUAGACUCGGCGAAAUUGCACUACGAGUAAAGAUGCUCGUUACGCGCGGCAGGACGAAAAGACCCCGGGACCUUCACUACAACUUGGUAUUGAUGUUCGGUACGGUUUGUGUAGGAUAGGUGGGAGACUGUGAAACCUCGACGCCAGUUGGGGCGGAGUCGUUGUUGAAAUACCACUCUGAUCGUAUUGGGCAUCUAACCUCGAACCCUGAAUCGGGUUUAGGGACAGUGCCUGGCGGGUAGUUUAACUGGGGCGGUUGCCUCCUAAAAUGUAACGGAGGCGCCCAAAGGUUCCC
rnacentral:rRNA from 1 species